AUUGAACGCUGGCGGCAGGCCUAACACAUGCAAGUCGAGCGAGCGGAGGACGGGUGAGUAAUGUAUGGGGACUGCCCGAUAGAGGGGGAUAACUACUGGAAACGGUGGCUAAUACCGCAUACUAUCGGAUAACCCAUAUGGGAUUAGCUAGUAGGUGGGGUAAAGGCUCAACUAGUCGACGAUCUCUAGCUGGUCUGAGAGGAUGAUUAGCCCCACUGGGACCUAGACACGGCCCAGACUCCGACGGAGGCAGCAGGGGGGAAUAUUGCACAAUGGGCGCAGGCCUGAUGCAGCCAUGCCGCGUGUAUGAAGAAGGCCUUAGGGUUGUAAAGUACUUUCAGCGGGGAGUCGUUACCCGCAGAAGAAGCACCGGCUAACUCCGUGCCAGCAGCCGCGGUAAUAC
rnacentral:rRNA from 1 species